UGGAUACCCUUACUACCUUCCUAAACAAUAAUUUGCUCUCAAUGAAAUCUUACUGAUGUUAAAGUUUAUGCCCCCUUACCCCCCUACUGAUUCUUUUUAUUUUCUACUAGUUGUAGCUAAGUGCGGUAAUUUUGUCAUCAAGUAGACUUUUCUAUAGUUCUACUAGGGUAGGUGUCUAUAGCUCGACUGUUGUAAUUUAAGGUAUGAAUAAUUGAAUUGCUCAGUGGGAUGUCAUUUCUUAUAGAAAUUGAAUC
rnacentral:misc_RNA from 1 species